GAAAACUCUGCCCACGCCCGCACACAAGUAGCAGAGACCUACAAUCACGCAGCCCCAACUUCUCCCCGUAUCUUUCUCAAAAAAAAAACUUCUCCCCGUAUCCAAGCAGCCGCCGCCGCCGUAGCUCCAUGGCCCCAAGAUCCCCGCAACCGAUCAUUCUCCGAGUCCGCUCCUUGCUCUGCGGCCUUCCAAGUCCAAAGCCCAGACCUAGCACCUGAAGCAGCAUCCCCUUGUUCCACCUCUCGAUCGAGGAAGGCCGGGAAGAGGAGGCAGGGGGACAUAGGAAUUGGAAGCCGGUCCCAUUAUACGCGGCGAGGGACGACGGCCUCAAGGCGGCGCUGCUGCCGGAGAAGAAGGCGUGGAGCCGACGCCCGCGAACGGCUGCUGGACCUGCCCGCCGAGCUGGAGCUGCUGUGGCGCGCGGGAUGGGGGGCGGUGGGGACGGGCCAAGAAGACCGGGGUGACGGACGAGGUGGCGGAGGAUGUGCGCAGGGUGUGGUCCGGUGGCCAGGAUCUUGCUGCCGUCUGGGUCGUUAAGCCUCUCCAAGAUGGACAGAGCAAGGGAGAUCCUUGAGGACCUCGCCACCUUCCAGAUCCAUCAGAGUGCUUGGCAGAGAAUUAUGUAAUUUUGACGUAAAUGAUCGUCAAUCAUAACUGACAAUGCUGGAUGCCAAUUGCAGUUAGUUGUUGACAGCUUGGUGCCGACUGCUAAUCUAGCAAAUUCUUCGGAUGUUUGGUAACUUCACUUUCCAGAAUUGAAUCUUCACUCAGGUGAAGUGAUUCCCUUGGGCAUUGAUAUCUUUGGGGGUAAUAUAUGUACAUAAUGAAAAUUGAAUUAAGAUUACAAUCGGAUUAGAAGCCAUGAUCUGUGGACCAUAUAUAUUGUAGUCUGCUUCACUUUCACUUCCUAUUGGGAAAAUUUGCAAAUCGGACCAUGUCUCAACAAUGUCUGGAAGAAAGGUUUGUCCAUGAAAUUUACCCUUUUUUUCUUUCCUUUUUAAUGCUCAUCACAUAUUUAUAUAUGUCUGUUAUGGUUAAAGUUUGCUAAUAUUAUUCAGUCUGUUCCCUGCACUUGUUUUACAAGCUAGAUUGUGUGAACAAGUAUAUACAGAGAUGGGAAAAGGCAACCUUGUCACAUUAAUGUGAGGAGGUAAUAUUAGGUAGAGAUUCUUGCAUCUGCACGUUAACUUUAGGUGUAAUGCUGUGGCAUAUUUACUUGCAGCUAGCAUCUCAUGGAUCAACGAUAUAGCAUUUGUUCCUCAAAUUUAAUGUCAAUGCAAAUGUAAUUAUGAUCAUGCAUCAACAGGAGAAGUCUUCACUUUAUUUGAACAUUCAGGUGUCUUUCUCUUGCAUGGUGGUAUUGAUCUGUUAUUUGCAUUGCUAAAGCUUGGUUCUGUUAUAUCCCAGAGAAAAGAUACAGUGAGUCAACUAUACAAAUGAUUCUUUGAAUAUUCAGUACAUGCUUCUCUGAAUGUUGGUAAAGCUUGGUGGUAUUACUUCUCUAAAUAACUUAUAUCCAACGGUCAUGGAAACAUCAUCACAGACAUUUUGAACAGAGUAAAGGUAAUUACUGAGCAUUUGUACCAACUGAUGCACAUUGUGAUUCCAGCUUCUGGAAAGAAAGGAACUAUAUGCUAUUUGCAUAGACAGUUGUUUGACUUGUAGGUUAUUUUCAAUGAGAAUACCACUGACCAAGUUGGAGCCUCUGUCAAAAGAUUGUCAUGCGGCACUUCGCUGCUAUAUAUUCAUAUAAAAGAGGAUUGGCAUUACAUUAUUGAAGUAGCAGAUUUUGUUCUUGCUCUAUAUUCUUUCUUUUUGAACCUUGCUAAGUAAUCAUUCCUGUGUAGAGCGAGCGAACGAGGGCCCGUGAAGAGCUGGCGAACGAGGCCACCCGUGUGCCUACGAUGUGGUGGCGCGGAGCCCCCUACCGCCAGCUCCAUUUCAGUUCGAGAUCCGCACUGGUCUUCUCUCUAUCGUCGUCGUGCUGCCUGCUGCCCGCUUCACCCUAUCUCCUCAGCAACGGGCAGCUCCAUCUAUCGUUAACUAGAAGCCCAGAGGUUCACCUCUACCACGAUGGCCGCAUCGCUACAACCAAAACUCCACCAUUGUCCAGCCACCAACCUAGUGCAGGUGGACUCAACGUGGACCAUAACCUCUCUGGGUGUUACCAACAACGUAUUUUCAGAAAUAAGAAUUGAUCAUGUAUAUUAUCUCUUUCAAUUUGAAAGAGAAGACAAUAAUAGUUUCAUUAUGGUUGUUCUGAAGGAAUGACAAGGCCAUUGAUGUUGUCAAGGUUACUACAGAGUAUAAUCUUCUUCCACAGUAGUGAGCAUGGCACAAUGGAUGGUGUCGGGGAUAUACCCCGCGGUAUAAACCGCCGAAUGUAUGACCCGGCUAGAGUUUGGCGAUUCACUGGCAACCUACUUGGACAUGGUGGUUUACAGUUCAUUGGUAAUCCGGCAGGCGGGUCAGAGGAGCGACAAGACCCGGUGGCCCAACGGGCGGUUUAUGGAAGGCCAGAUCAUGCUAUGGUGGGCCGGUUUAAGAGAAAAGGCGUGAGUAAUAUUU